rnacentral:rRNA from 1 species
UACGUAGGGUGCAAGCGUUGUCCGGAAUUAUUGGGCGUAAAGAGCUCGUAGGCGGUCUGUCGCGUCGAAUGUGAAAAUCCGGGGCUCAACCCCGGACCUGCAUUCGAUACGGGCAGACUAGGGUUCGGUAGGGGAGGUCUGGAAUUCCUGGUGUAGCGGUGAAAUGCGCAGAUAUCAGGAGGAACACCGAUGGCGAAGGCAGGUCUCGUGGGCAUUAACUGACGCUGAGGAGCGAAAGCAUGGGGAGCGAACAGG